rnacentral:rRNA from 1 species
UACGUAGGGCGCAAGCGUUAUCCGGAAUUAUUGGGCGUAAAGAGCUCGUAGGUGGCCUGUCGCGUCGGCUGUGAAAACUCGGGGCUCAACUCCGAGCUUGCAGUCGAUACGGGCAGGCUAGAGUUCGGCAGGGGAGACUGGAAUUCCUGGUGUAGCGGUGAAAUGCGCAGAUAUCAGGAGGAACACCGGUGGCGAAGGCGGGUCUCUGGGCCGAUACUGACACUGAGGCGCGAAAGCACGGGGAUCAAACAGG